CCGGAGAUGACGUUUCGUGGCAUGGCCCGCGGGUGGAAAGCUCUCGCGGUGUGGGAUGGGCCCGCGGCCUAUCAGCUUGUUGGUGGGGUGAUGGCCUACCAAGGCGACGACGGGUAGCCGGCCUGAGAGGGUGACCGGCCACACUGGGACUGAGAUACGGCCCAGACUCCUACGGGAGGCAGCAGUGGGGAAUAUUGCACAAUGGGCGCAAGCCUGAUGCACCGACACCGCGUGAGGGAUGACGGCCUUCGGGUUGUAAACCUCUUUCACCACGGACAAGCGCAAGUGACGGUACCUGUAGAAGAAGGACCGGCCAACUACGUGCCAGCAGCCGCGGUAAUAC
rnacentral:rRNA from 1 species